GGCCGCGUGUAUCCCAGAGCAUUCGGGCCAUACUGACCUACCGUGGCCCGCUCCUUCCCCUGGCUUAUCGCCAGCGGUCUCACACGAGUGCCGAAUCCCCGAAGGGAUCCAUGGCAACAUGUGAUGCGGGUCUCGCUCGUUACCGGACUUAACCGGACACUUCACAGCACGAGCUGACGGCGGCCAUGCAGCUCCUCUCAGCGCGUCAGGUAAGCUCUUCAAGCUGACCGUCAUCCUGCUGUCGGCUCUGGUAGGGUACUCUGCGUUGGAUCUAAUUAAACCGCAGCCUCCACCGGUUGUGGUGCUCCCCCGUCAAUUCCUUUAAGCUUCAGCCUUGCGACCGUACUUCCCAGGCGGUGCGUUUAACGUUUUCACUUCGGCACCGGACAACCUCGGAGGUUGUCCGACAUCAAACGCACAUUGUUAACGGCCAGGACUACGCGGGUAUCUAAUCCGCUUUGCUCCCCUGGCUUUCGUUCCUCACCGUCGGAUCCGUACUCGUUGAGCGCUUUCGCCACAGGUGCUCCUCCCAGAAUUUUAGGAUUUCACUCCUACUCCGGGAAUAGCCUCAACGCCGUCCGGUCCCUAGCCAUACAGUAUCCGCUGCACGCCCACACGUUGAGCGCGUGGAUUUCACAGCGGACUUGCAUGGCAGGCUACGAACACUUUAAGCCCAAUAAUAACGACUACCACUUGGGGUCCUGCUAUUACCGCGGCGGCUGGCAGCAGUGUUGCCCACCCCUUGUUCCGGCACCUCCUUACAGUGCAGAAAAGUAACCUUCCUUGUGGGAAGAUUACACUCGGAGUCCCCCCAUCGCACUCUCGUGCAUUGUGAAGGUUUCGUGCCUGCUGCACCCCGUAGGGUCUGGCUUCUUGUCUCAGAAGCCAACUGACAGCUCCCGCUCUCACGGCUGUUACUGAUUACUGGCUUGGUGAGCCGUUACCUCACCAACGACCUAAUCAGCCGCGACUCCAUCCUAUGGCGUCGGAACAUUUCACAGACGACGCUUUCCAGCAAUCAUCUGCUAUUGGAUAUUAGCCUCACGUUAGCGAGGUUAUCUCCAUCCAUAGGGCAGGUUAGUCACGUGUUACUCAGCUAUCCGCCCCGAGCAAAGCUCGGUGGACUAGCAUGGCUAAAUCGGACUCCGAUAGCAGUAGCCUCCGGCAGGAUCAACCGGAA
rnacentral:rRNA from 1 species